rnacentral:rRNA from 1 species
CCCUUAGAUGUUCUGGGCCGCACGCGUGCUACACUGAUGCAUUCAACGAGUCUAAAACCUGGUCUGAUAGGGCUGGGUAAUCUUUUGAAAGUGCAUCGUGAUUGGGAUAGAUGAUUGCAAUUCUUCAUCUUCAACGAGGAAUGCCUAGUAAACGCAAGUCAUCAGCUUGCAUUGAUUACGUCCCUGCCCUUUGUACACACCGCCCGUCGCUCCUACCGAUUGAAUGCUCAGGUGAGCCAUUCGGACUUUCAUCAUGCUGGUUUCCAGUUUUGAUGAAGGAAAGUCUUGCGAACCUUAUCAUUUAGAGGAAGGAGAAGUCGUAACA